rnacentral:rRNA from 1 species
UACGUAGGGGGCGAGCGUUGUUCGGAUUUACUGGGCGUAAAGAGCGCGUAGGUGGUUCGAUGAGUCGGAUGUGAAAUCCCUCGGCUCAACCGAGGACCCGCGUCCGAUACUGUCGAACUUGAGUGCAGGAGAGGAGAGCGGAAUUCCCAGUGUAGCGGUGAAAUGCGUAGAUAUUGGGAGGAACACCGGUGGCGAAGGCGGCUCUCUGGACUGUCACUGACACUGAGGCGCGAAAGCUAGGGGAGCAAACGGG